AUUUCUUUAUAUGUUAGAGAAAAAAUAUAUAAAAUUGAGAAAUCAAUAAGUGCAGAUAAAGAAAGGUGUUUUGGUAUGGAAACAAAAACAUUUGAUGGCUGUAAAAUUUCGUUUGCGAAACAACAACAAAUUUCAGCGGCCAUUGCGAAAGCAGAAUAGAAUACCAACCCUUAAUGAAUUUACUUGGCAUUAAUGAUGUCAACUUGUUCUCUUUUUACAUUCAUUCUUUGUUUGCGUUUUCUCCUAUUUGAUGACAUUUUCAAUCGGCAGACUUGACAUCCUAAAAGAUGUUCAUGAGGCUUAUCCACCUUAUGUUUUCGCAAGUGACUUAAACUUCUAUUAGUGAAUCCUGCCUGUGUGUCAAGCGGAUUUAAAAAUGUGGUCUCACGCAAACAGGUGUUAAGCUUGAUGGCAAGAUGUCGGAUUGCACCAUAUGAUUUGUGGCUUUUGUACAAAUGAAACCACCUUUAAUUGCUUUGCCAUACCUGUGUGUGUAGAUUAUAACGAUAUGAGAAAAAGGAAAACGUCAAAACUAUUACAAGAGCUGAACGAAACUACAACAAAAACUCUCUAAAAAAACACCAAUGUCCAAAGCUAUAUUCCAGGUUUCGCGUGUACUCUAAAAUUGCAAGACGGUGCCAAAACAUGAUUUGUGAGGGAGUGACAAGUGCCAUUUUCAUUACGUGGUAAAAUUGAACAGGAGCUUGACAACCUAGAAGGAGAUGACAAUACCACUAAAAACAAAAUCGCAGUGAAUCAACAACUACAACCUGCUCCCUAUACAAUUCGAGGUAUUGGUAAAAUUUUUAACAGCUUAAAUAACGCGAAGCAUUUCUGCAAAAUAGAUCUAUACAAAGCUUACCUCCAGUUCAAGUAGAUGAGUAGUAAAGAAAUACAAACGAUAUCUACACAUCGUGGCACCUACAAGAUAAAUCGACUUUCCUUCUGGAUAAAAAAAGCACCCAGUGAGUUUAACAGAAUUUUAGACCAGAUACUUCAGGUUCUAGAAGGGACGAUAUCGUAUUUCGAUGAAAUUGUCGUUUUUGGAGUUUCCAAAAAUAAAUAUUUAUAUAGAUUAUAACAUUUUUUUGAAUGGUUCCACAAGUACAAUCUUCCUGUAAAAAAGAAUCGACUUUCCUUCUGGAUUAAGACAGCACCCAGUGAGUACAACAGAAUUUUAGACCAGAUACUUCAGGUUCUGGAAGGGACGAUAUUGUCGUUUGUGGAGUUUCCAAAAAUAAAUGUUUGCAUAGAUUAGAAAAAUGUUUUGAAUGGAUCCACCAGUACAAUCUUCAUGUAAACAAGUGCGAAUAUUUUAAAGAAGAAAUAACAUAUCCAGGCUAUGUUGUGAGCCAUAAUAAGAUUUCGAAAUGCCAAAGCAAAACAAGUCGACAAUUUUGUAUAUAUUUGUACGGCAGAAAAUUUACCUUAAUAACUGACAACCCCCCUUUUUCAAGGUCAGCAGGGUUAUUAAAAUAUUCCCCUGCGACCUGCGUGAAGUUACCAUCGAUUACCAUCAUCGAUAAUUCAGAUGAUGGCAGUAAUACAGGGUGAUAUAAAGAUGUUAAAUAAAUUAUUUUUUAAAUGAAAUCACUUAACAAUGAAAAUAAACAAAAAAUACGUUGUUACAAAAAAGUAUUACCUUCAAUUUAUUUAAAAGGCUUCAAAAUACCAAAAAGAAAAUAUGUUGUGCAGGGUUUUCGACUUUGGAUACGGGAAUUUCAAUCGAUGUCUUCACAAUAAAUUAAAAUUUGGAAGAUCAUAUAUAAUGACCAGGAAUGCAGUUACUACAAGGGGAGUUCUAUACCUUCAAUUUGAUAUGCUGCACUUAGCUGGAAUCGGUUUUUCCUUGAGCAAAGUUUUCAGAUGUCUGUUGAGAAUCUAGAGGGUAGGACACGGAUUGAAGCUUAGGGACCAGGAAUGGACUUCGUACAAAAGACAGCGAAUGACACAUCAAAGAGGAUAUCACUAGCUUCAAUUUGAUGUAUCACUUUUAUCCAGAAUUACUUUUUUCUUGAACAAAAUUUCUAGAUUUCUCUUGAGAAACUGGCCACUGACUCCAGCCUAGGGACCAGGAAUGGACUUCAUACAAAAAUGUGGGAAUACCAAGACAAAGAGGAAGUCAUUUCCUUCAUUUUGGCGUAUCACUCUUAGCUGAAUUAAUUUUUCCCUGAACAAAGGUUCCAGAUUUCUGCUUAGAAACUGAGGGCAGGACACUUAUUCCAGUCUAGCGAGCAGGAAUGGACUUCAUUCAAAAAAUAGCGCUUGCCACAUCAAAGUGGAGGCCAUUAGCUUCAAUUUGAUGUAUCACACAUAUCUAGAAUAAGUUUAACCUUGAACAAAGUUUUCAGAUGAUUUUUAAGAAACUGGAGGGCAGGACACUUAUUCUAGCGUGGAGACCAGGAAUGGACAACGCACAAAAAAUUCGAAUGCCACGUAAAAGCGGAAUUUACUAACUUCUGACGCAUCAGACUUGGCCGAAUUCGGUUUUUUCUGAACAAAGUUUCCAGAUUUCUGUUUAGAAACAAAAGGGGAGGCAGAUUCCAGCCUAAAGCCCAGGUCAAAGAGGAGGUCAUUACCUUCAAUUUGACGUAUCGCCCAUAGCCGGAAUCAGUUUCCCCUUGAACAAAUUUUCCAGAUUUCUGUUUAUAACUGGAUGGGAGGACACAAAAUCCGGCGUGCCCCCGUGCGACAUCUAUUUGGAGAGAAUUAUUACAUUGCAUAGUAUCUCACAAAAAAAACUAAAUUGUAACCGUUGAGUGAAGCGGACGUGCUUUUAUUUCGCUCCUCAAAGAAAAUAUAUCCCGAUCUCUACCUUACUACCUGUUACGGCCUUUUGGAAUAGGCUGGAAAUGGACUCCAAAGACCCAACAGCUGCGGUGGUGGGGUUAGACCGUAGCAUGUUGUUCUCCCCUCCUAAAGGUGUGGGUGCCUUGGCACCUGUAGUCGAGAAUAAUGCUUCAAGCGCACAACUAGUAGUCAGACUAAUUAAUGAGGAAGAAACGGAUAAACCAGAAGGAUGCACAGUUCGUCCCCAGGCUUUAAGUAAAGGUAUUGUUUCCGACUCGGAUUCAGACAACGACGGUGUCAAUGAAACAGUCAUCGCAGCCGAAUCGAGAGAUGAGGGCAGCGGAAGAUAGCAGGAAUGAGCGAUGGCUUUUCUAAGCUCACAAGCAGACCGAGAAAGCGAUCCCGUGCACGACGAAGGAGACAGAGGAGUAAGUACCGGCAGCGCAACCGGGCGAAAGUGCAGGAUGCUGUAAGGGAUAGAAGUGAAACUCCAAGCACUUCUACCGAAUCUGGAAAGAGAAUCAGAUCUCCCGAAGAGCAUAACACUGCUAAAAUGCUGAAGAAGAAAAAAGAAAAGAGAUCUCCGGUUUCAAGUACUCUGGGAAAACCAAGACAGCCAUCCCGCAAUAGAUAUUCCAUACAGUGUCCUGCGGGGGUAGAACAAGUUAAAACCGGAACGAUGCAAGCGUGCAAUGCUCCUGAGUCUUCAUGGAGGACUGAGACCACCAAAAGGAGGCCACAUCCUUCACGGAAGGGAAGAUGGUCGUUGAGAAUGGUAAGAAGCCGCCCUCUUACACCAAGGAGGAAGCAGGGAAGCACAACAGAGAUGACCUGAUUCAUGCCGUCAUCAAUAUAAGCAGUGCAUCCGGUAGGAUCCACCAGAUCAUCGGUCCCAAGUAGAGGAUCUGGUUAACGAGCAGAAUUUCGAACAUGUCUGGAACUCUGUAGAGGGUCCACCUAUAAAAAUUAUGACCUGAGAGUAUAGAGAGGACAUCUCCACGCUCCCUGGGAGUGCACAAAGAUCCAUCUGGUGUGAAAGAUGGACAUCCGCCAAAACACAAAGGCGACAGUCUUUAUCAAGGGAUGUGGCAGUAAAUUUGCGACAGAACUCAAGUUGGAAUUCUUGGGCAAGCAAUCAAAUCUCCGUAACGGGUUUGGAUAAGACUAAAGGCAUGGCGCACUACGGGAGCAAGGCUGUCUUUUUCAAGAUUGGAAAGACUAGGAUAGGCAAAAAUCCUCAUAAUGAGACAUCAGUGGCAGAAGACCUAAUACCGCCCAACGAACAGGAGGUUGACGACGAGACAAUCAACGCCUCCCUCAAUAUUGGGGAGACUGGGAUAAAGAAAUAUCCUAAUACUAAAAUAACAGGCAGUACAAUGGCAAGAGACCCAACCCAGCCUAAUGACCUGGGAUCCGACGACGGACCCAUCACCGAUUUCAAGAUUCGGAAGACUAGGACUUGUAAAGAUCCUAACAUUGAAACACUAGGCAGAGCAGCGACAGGAGUUUCAAUGCGGCCUAACGAACAGGGAGCCUACUCCCAAGAAGGUUAUUUACUUAAAAUUUGGAAGACUGAGACAGGCAAAAAUCCUAGUAUUGAAACAUCAGGCAGUGAAGGGAAAGGAACGAACAGGGACCCGACGAUGGAACCAUUAACGACUUUGUAAAGAUGCGGAAGGCUAGGAUCCUAAUUCGAUGACAUCAGGCAGUGCAGUGACAGGAAAGCCAAUGCAGUCUAAAGAACAGGGAGCAGAUGAUGAGACAAUCACCCACACCCAAGAAGCCCAUCUAAUGGAGCACCACUGAUUGAGAUCAUCGAGAUAAACCUCAAACGGAACUAUACAGCAACUCACGCGCUGAUGAAGAAAAUCAGCAAGGGCAAGAAUCAUAUUGCCUUAAUUCAGUAGCCAUGGGCGACUCGGAACAAAGUUUCUGGACUAAACCAUAUUAGCCACCAAAUAUUCUAUGCUAACACGUGUACUCGGCCGAGGGCCUGCUAUAUUAAUCAUAAAAAUUUAUAUUGUAUAUUUUCCCCAGACUUGUCAAAGUCGGACGCAACAGUGAUGAGACAAGGAGACGAUGGAGCAUCACUUUAUCUGCCUUUCGAUUCCGACACCGCCACCAACUUCGGAGCUGUAACGGCAGGUGAUUAAAGAAAAACACAUGACCUGAUUACACUCAAUUUUGGUAACACCGCUACCAUUGUUAAUAGGAUAAGGGAGGAGGUUUCAGAUGUGACAAUCUGUUCGGAAAAUCUGGGUGAUGAGGUUCAGGAUUGGAGGGUCUGCAUGGAGCAUUCCUUUUCUGACCAUCGCUACAUUAGAUUUAGAAUAGCAUGGCCAGCGCCGAAUCCGAUAAGCUCCCGGAAUAAGUUGAAAACCAACGGGACAGAAUUUGGAAGAAUACUUGGGCAAGAUAAUUCAGAUUGUCUAAGCAUAGAAGACAUUGACGAAAAUGUCAAUAGGAUUGCGACUGCACUGGUGGAGUCUUUGAAAGAUAGUUGUCCUGUUCAGAAAGGGAAAUAGGUCCGCAGAAGAAUACAAUAAGAUUACCAGAGCGGCAAAACGUGCCUCCUGAAAACUUUUCUGGGAACAAGCCGGUAGCGUUAAUGACGGCACCACGAUAAACGAGUUACUUUCAAAAACUCAUGUCCAAACUAAAACUUUAGUAGGCGAUGCAGACGAUGCUAUAAUACUUCUAAGGGGUAAGGAUCCGAACCAGUUAUGCAGAAUUGCCGAAAGUGUCUUGCAUAUGGCAUAUGACUGGGUUAGAGUCAGGGGUCUCAAUGCUAACCCAUAGAAGACUGAAAUAUGCCUGUUCAAGAGGAAGACGAAUUUGGGCAAAUUUAAAGCACCACGUUUACUCAACGAAACGAUUUCGAUAUCUAACAAGGUCAAAUACAAAGGUGUCAACUUGGCAGGAAACUGAGUUGGAAGUUUCAGAUUUAGGAGCGUAAUGGGAAGGCUCACAGAUGUUGGGCACUACGUAGACCGGCCGUAGGCUCGAAAUGAGUCCUGAAUCCGAGGAUAGUCCACUGGCUCUACAGGAAGGCGAGUAGACCAAUAUCUACUUAGAUUAGGUUGAAAAGAUGGUGCAAAUAUUAAUCCGCCCCAUGCCACUAUGAACAUACACAUAAGCCAGUAAUCGGGUUUUUGUGCGAUCUAAAAACUAUAAAGUAACCUCUAAAAAGAAUAUUUUAAGUUAUGAAUUCUGAGCUACUUACAAAAUCCUUAAUUGUUUUCAAUACCAGUCCCCUAAGUUGGUUUAUGUCUGGUAUACUUACUUACGCCUCAGUAGUUUGAUGGACUGCUAUGGAGAAAAAGUGCAACAUAAGGACCACACAUCAGGUUCAGAGAACAUGUUGUUUUGGCAUAGACGGAGUUAUGAGGACCACGCCCACUAGGGCGCUGGAGACUUUUCUAGAUAUCCGACCCAUUGUCAUACAGAUUAAUUGUGGGGCAGCCACUGCGGCUAUGAGACUUAAGGCGAUGGGAGAAUGGAUUGAGGAUGGGAGCAGCUCAUACCUUCGCGGUAUAAUCGAGGCGAGGAUAGGAAACCUGGGAGGAAGUGGAGAGGUUCCGAACGGAUAGCUGAGAUGAACCUUGAAGUCGAGUGCGACGCACUGCUGCCAGCGGCAGUGACGGUAAGGUCACGAAUAGUCUUGCAGUGUAAGAAGAAGAUUAACGCCUUCUCUGAGGAUGGCAAAAUCAACAUCGUUUGGGGAAGAUGAUGAGACGUUGGAGCAUUUCCUUUGUCAUUGCUCGGCAACAGUACCAAGACAUGUGACCAACUUAGGGACGUGGCAUGAAAAACAAUUAAAUAUUUUGUAAGUGGCACGGAAUACCAGACAUAGAUAUUCUUUUUGAGGUUAUUUUUUAGUUUUUAGAUCGCACAACAUGCCGAUUACUGGCCUAGGUGUCUGCACCCUCUUUUCUACCUAACCUCAUCUAUCUCACAAAUGUCGCCAGCAUCAGGAGGGAAAACCCACCGCUGAAAGAUUUUCCUAAUGGUUUCGCCAGGAUUCGAACAUAGGUUUUCAGCGUCAUAGGCGAACACGCUAACCUCUGCGCUACGGCGGCCUCCUAAAAUUUUGAUAUUUAUUUUGUACAUGUCACAAAGCGCCUACACCAAUUGUAAGGUGGAGGUCAUUACCUUCAUUUUGGUAUAUUACUCAUAUCCCAGAACUAUUUUAUGUUGAAUUAACCUGCCAGACUGGAAACAGAAAAAGAGAGACAGAAAAUAGAGAACCUGCAGAUUUCUACUGGGACUUUUUUGCUAACAGAAAUUUGAAACUUUGAACAGAUGUUUUGUAAAGGUCAGCUGUAUUAUGAACAGAAGCCGUUAAAUGAAAAUACAAAAACUAACGCCAAAAUGGGUCAAAAAGGCAGAGAUUCAACGCAGCAGUCAGUUUUCAGGUACAGAAAACUAACCAAAUGAAGUUAUAAUUUUACCUCAAGUCGGUUGUUGUACAUUAGAAGACACCAAGAAAAGAGCAAUUAUCGGAGUAUUAAGUGUUUUGAUGGAAUCAUCCUCACUGAAGAGCUGCGAUGAAACCAACUCCGUUCCUUUGAAUUUGUUAAGGAAGGAAGAUGCUGCCAUGGGAUUGAGUAGGUCUGCCCGGAAGUUAAAAAAGUGACGCACAAAGGGAUUGGAAAAAAUUAGAGCAAAUUAGUCUGCCAAUUGUGAACGGAUAUAGAUAUCUUCAAUGAUAACACAAUGUCCGUAGUCGGCGCAUGACCAAAUGGAAAGCUCCCUUUGCAGUCGCAGCAAUUUGUCUAUCCACAAUAUCUGGAAAUUCAGUUCACCAGACCGUCGCAGUUCGAAAAGCGGCAUUCUCACAAAUCAGAAUAUUAUUCCACUGCCUGUCACAUAGCUGAUUAUACUAUACUGCCGCAGCAUAACUUAUCACCGACCGGAUAAUUGCUUUGUACGUGGUUAGUCCAAGGUUACUUUUUCAGCACACCAAGUGCUGCUGACAAGGGACCUGAGAACGUUGUUUCCACUUUUAUGUAUGGUGAUGCAUGUAAAGCAGUUGUAGUUCAAUGCAGCCUCCGAAAAGCAUGCUGAUGCUCGUCGAAUGCAAAUUGUCCAACGGCAGUAGUAGUCCCUCAUGCGUCUUGGCUACUGAUGAGAGAAGGGAGAGCGGUCUGUACGACUCCACGUUGCUCAUGUCUUUUCCAUGUUUCAGUAGCGGGAUCACACUGAUCAUCAUCCAAACAUCGGAUACUAUAAUAGUGUUCAGACAGGCUGAAGACAGUUGUAAGGUACUCGACUCGAGGCACAUCCUGAUUCUUUAGCAUCAGUGUAGAGAUUCCGCCUGGGACCAGCACCUUGUGCGACUUGGCGCCACGGGUGACAUUCGUAGCUUAGUGCACGGUUAAUUGCGAUGGCUGUCCAGCGGCACGGGGAUCACGGACACGACGAAUGACUCCCCUUCUAGCCUUGUCACUCUCAGGUCAAUAAAUUGACGUUUAUCUAAGGAAAUGAGCUUGAGCCCAUAUGCGCAUAUAGGGGUUAUUUUAAAACAAUUGUUUUCCUUACAAGCAAAUAAAAAACUAACCAAAACAAAAAUCAGCUGUUGUUUUGCAAAUUUGCACUGGAAGUCGUUCGCGUACUUUUGCUUGCAAAUUUUUUUAAAGAGAGUAAAAUGGCUCUUACUUUCCUGCAAAUUUUUACUGGCAAAUUUUUACUGGAAAAGUACGCGAACAUACCUACUACAUACUUAUCAAUUGGUCGGUCUUUUUCAUUUCCAUCUAGUUGUUACAAACAAAUGCUCUUAGAUAUAUCCUGUACCAAAGUAGUGGUGUAGGGUAUAUUUUAUUAAUUUAAUUAUUAUAAACAAUUUUUAAAUACUAUAACAUAACUACAAGCUGAAUUAAAAAUAAAGAAAAAUAAAACAUAUAUAGAAAUAUUUAAGCAAAUUUUGUAUCAUUUCUCUGGAAUUAUAAUUUUUGCACAACACAAUAAUAACGAGUAAAUAUAAUUGAAAACUACCAACAUGGAUUCUGCGCACUCUACGUAUUGCUCUACGUACUUAAUUUGUGUCAAGCCAGACACAAGUGAAAUCUUCUAGGAACCCAACAAAUAUAAUCGAGAGAUCGGUUUAUACGGGAGCUACAUCAAGUUAAAGACCGUACUUGGCACAGUUGUUGAAAGUCGUAACAGAACACUACAUGCUAAAUUUUAGUUAAAAACCUCUUGUUGAUCCGUCAUUUCAGAUUCACUACUUUUACUGGAACAAGUUUUUGAUGAAUUAAUAUUGCUUGGUUCGAAUGGGAUAUCAAUUUCAAAUAUCAAAUAAAUAAAGGUAGUACCACGACCAAACUGAAAUAAAACAAUGAAUUUCGAUGUAAGGCAAAAGGACAACAGGUAGAAUAAGAUUACAAAUAUUAAUCCGUUACGUACAACCGGCUGCUAUGGGUUUGACACUGUACGUCAAAUGACACCUUCAUUAUGUUUGUUCUUAAGACCAUUUUUCAUAUAAAUGGCCCCUUCAGGCACAUACUUGUCCUUUCUGUGGUACCACCAAAAACAUGUAAGUUGUAUUGUAUUUUUUUUUUUGUUGAUUUAUUAAAAAAUCGUUCAAGUGUUAAAAUGUAAAUUUUAAUACAUUUAUUUUGUUCAUAGUGAAUUAACAUAAUCAAUCUCAAAUCAACACACAUACACAUGAACCAAAUGUUGAAUCUUGUUAUUUGAACACAAAGCAAUAAAGAAAUAAAUCGAGUAGUUUUUUUCACCAGUUUAAAAUAAAUUCAUCCAUCAUCUUAUUUUGGAAGGCCUCAGGUGUGUGAUGUUUAUUCCUAUUAAACGAAGGAAAGAAAGCAACAAUUUUAUUCAAUGUUUAAUGUCAUUUUGUGUUAUAUGUUUAGUGGCAAGUGAGCGUUGUAAAAAAAAGGACGGAGAGACAUUUUGUCUAUUGUGUGAAUUGCCCUACUUACCUUUGAGUUGAGAUCCUGCCUAGUUUAUGUCGAACAGCCAAGAACAAGCAGGGGAAGCA